rnacentral:sRNA from 1 species
AGAUAGAACAUGUUACGAUGUAAGAAACUAAAAGAAAAAAAAAAUAUAGAGAUACUUAGCUUGAAACAUUGGGCGAGUGAAGAAUUAUCACAUCUUGGAAGGAACGAUUCCUCUUACUAUGAUCCACUUCAUCACAAAGAUUUUUCAAGUCUGUUGUUGGCUGACCAAGUUGGAUUACCCACUUGUUGAUGGAAAGAAACUUUCGAUAGAUGAAUCAAAUAAUUCUUCGGACGGAAGUGAACGAUACCUUCGGAAGUUGAAUAUUGUUUGAUAUCGGUUCAUAAUGAACAGCAUUAAAAGGGGGCAUGUUUUCCUUGAACGGCACUCCGGCUCCGGCUCCAGCACCAUCAACGGCAGAUAACGACUGAACAACUGGAGUUAAUGAUACUUCUGAUGACACGUUCAAUUUUAAUUCAGUCCGCCAUAUUGGCUUGGAUAGUUACCAUUCUUCUCUCAAUCGCAAGUGGGCCAAUGCUAAAGAUGUCUUAUUCAAUGGAGGACUAUUCCAAUGGUCUCAAUGUUCAUAAAAGUUUACCGCUGUCUUCAUAGGUUUGACCAUUUGGUCGGUUUUACUUUACGUGGAUCUGAACGAUGAACAAAUCGAUCCUAACACCAAAACGAGUGAUUUGCAUGGUCAAAUGAUGUCUUCAUUAAAAGACAAUUUUCGGAGUGACAACUUAACCACUGGAACUACGAUCUCCAAUGAGUGGAAUCACCUAUUUAUGGACUUCGAAUGUUGCGGCGUGAACAAAGUGGUUGGAACUAUCAACGACUUCGAACCCACCUACUGGUGUAUGACAGAGGGGAGUUGUCAUGCUACCUCAUCGCAGAUACCAAGGACGUGCUGCAAAGGUUUUACAGAAAAUGAUUAUCAAAAUGCUCCUAUUGAAUGUAAAUCCUCCGUUAAAUCCGGCUCUUACUAUGACAAGGGUUGUUUCUCUGUCAUCAUGAAAGAGGUUAUAAAGGAAAGGAUUAACUUUGAUUCUUUUACCGAUGACAUUCUUACAGAGGGGCUAAAAGUAAUUUUAGUCAUGUGGACCUGUUCAUUCAUAAGCUUGUUUGGAAUGUGUCUUUUUAUUGGCAUAUGUUUGACGAAAAAAGGUAAUGCCGAAAAAGGUAAUGCCGAGAAUGGAGAUACUUCGCAAACUGGGAAUGCAUCACCGAAGACCGAACACUUGUAUCCGAACUAUCAAAGAUCUUCGCAAAUCUUCACAAACCAAGAACGCAUCAACUAUGACCGACCAAACAACAAAUAUGACAGACACUGGCAAGAUAUCUGUUACAGUUAUAGAUAUUAAUUGUCUAUUAUCAUAAAAUGAUUAUUUUUCAAAAACUAUAUUUGUAAAAUUAUUUUUAUGAGCAUCAACAUAAAAACAUAUACCCACCCCCUCCCCAUUUAGUAGGCAUUUACUCACCCCUUUCUUUAUCUAUUCUCUCCAUAAAACCCAAUCUCAUUGCAUACACAAUAAAUUGCGUUUAUAUACAAUAAUGUUAAACAUGCCUUUGUUUGUAUAUAUGUAUUGUAAAGUCUUAGAUAAGCAUAUUUUUGUGGAUGUAAGUUUUCUCUACUUUAUAUUGUGCUCAAAUCAAAAUAGAGAAAGAAAAUAUUAUGCACUUAUCCUAUGUUAAUAUGUGCUUUGAUAUUGAUAUGAAUAAAAAAAAUAUUUU